rnacentral:rRNA from 1 species
AAUAUUGGUCAAUGGGCGGAAGCCUGACCCAGCCAGGCCGCGUGUUUGAAGAAGGUCUUAGGAUUGCAAAUCAUUUCAAUUUGGGAGGUAGGGCAGUUAACGAAUACUUAACUGUUUUGAAGUUACCAAAAAAAUAAGCUCCGGCUAACUUCGUGCCAGCAUCCGCGGUAAUACGAAGGGUGCAAGCGUUAAUCGGAAUUACUGGGCGUAAAGCGCGCGUAGGUGGGUCGUUAAGUUGGAAGUGAAAGCCCCGGGCUCAACCUGGGAAUUGCUUUCAAAACUGGCGAGCUAGAGUACGGUAGAGGGUGGUGGAAUUUCCUGUGUAGCGGUGAAAUGCGUAGAUAUAGGAAGGAACAUCAGUGGCGAAGGCGACCACCUGGACUGAUACUGACACUGAGGUGCGAAAGCGUGGGGAGCAAACAGG